rnacentral:lncRNA from 1 species
AUUAUUUUUUUUUUAUGACCGUAAAAGUAAAGUUUUUUUAGUUUGCUAUUUGUUUGGUCGAAAAUGAAUAGUGUGAUAUGAUAUUAUUGGUUCUUAUAUAACUUAAUAAAUAAUAAAUUAUAAUUUAAUAAAUAAAAAAUAAUAUAAUUUUAAAUAAUAAACUAUAAUGUAAUAACAAAAAAAAAAAUCUCUUAUUUCUUAUUUUAUGUAUAUAUAUUUUCCUUUAUAUCUCCUUUUCAUA